rnacentral:lncRNA from 1 species
CCACAUUGUUUGGUUUGAUAGUUUAUUCAUGUCUAUUAUCCAAUGUGAUUCGUGUGCUUAUAUGAUUACCUUGAAUGUGAUUUGGAACGACUUUCCUAAAUCUCAUUCAUGCUCUGGCCAGAGAUUCUAAAUCAUAUCAUAGAGUAUUCUCCCCCAAAAGGUUUGAAGGUUAGAGAUCCCUUGUUGCGCAUUCACUUGCCUCCAUAGCUAAGUGGCUUAACCCCAACGAUGCCGUGGACACCCGCGGAUGGGGUGACUUUGACAUAAUCAAAGAUCAAGGACUUAACCACAAGACAACUAUGAUGCCUCAGGUCAAAGGACUACUUUGCAUUAUCCCAACCAUGAGUUCUCAUGUGACAUGAAUAUGAGAACUCUUCGUUGAUCGUGUUCAGUGAACUCAUUCUCUAUUGAGCACCUACGUACUUGUCUUGAUGUCAUACACACCAAUGACUCGAGACUAGUCACUCUCCCUGAGAUAAUACACAGCACGUACUGAUCUUAACAGACUGUCAAUGCCCAAUUGGCAAUCCUAUGAUCAGGAACGUUUAGGAUGUGUCUACGAAAGAAUGGUCUCAUGAAUCUAACUUCUUUAGAUUGCAUUCUCCCAAUUACAUAUUCCUUGGACUUAUCGUUUAAGCAUAUAACAUUAAUAUGAGACGGCUCAAACAAUAAUCUUUUCCCUUGAUAUUAAACUAGAUUAGUUUAACAUGUGAAAUGUCCGUAAAGUAUCAUCAUAUGAUUGGUUUUAGGGCACAUUUCCAACAAUCUCCCACUUGCACUAGAGCCAAUCAGCUUGGUCAUCAGUGAUGAUACCUCUUCUGUAGUCAUUUCAUAAAUGGCUGAAUAGUAGGCCUAGACAAUGGAUAUCUAUAUGUUAUCCAUAGAAGCAACCUUGAGAAUAACGACGUCACCAUUAUACAUGAUUCUCAAUCAUGUGGUUCAGUCUCUCAUUUGAGUUCAGAUCUUGAUGAGACCUUGAUUCCCUGGCUUGAGCUAUCGCCCCAUUAGUGUCAUAGUGUCAGUACACUAGAUACACUUUCUGGUUGGAACCGAAUAGAGAGUUUAUAAAUGAACUUUCCCAUCCAAACAACAUUCUUGUAAGCUUCUAUAUGGCAAUAUAUUUUGCAUUCAUAAUGGAACACACUAAAGUCAUUACUUUUAAUGUUUCCAUCCAAAUAUCUCUUUAGUCAUAAUAAAGAGAUAUCUUAUUAUCUCUUCAUUCAUAAUGAAGAAACAUCCAAUGAUGGAUUAGAUUCAUAAUCUAAUACAUUUACGCUUCCUUUACGUUACUCUAAUUCUUCCUCAUUCUUUGAGGAAUCUAUCCUUUAGUAUUUCUUAAAUACUUAAGGACUCACUUGACAGUUGCCAUGGUUCUGAUCCUGGGCUUGCACUGAUAUCGUCUUGUACCGUUCUAGGUACAACUCAUAUCAAUGUUUUUCAUACAAUAUGAAAUACAUAAAUCCCCUUUAUCCAUAGGAUUCUAUUUACGCAUUAUUUCUUUGGGAGUCAAAGAGUACGUUCUCUUUGAGAAGAGCAACUUCUUAGUCUCACUAGAGUUGUCCUUCUAAUUGAAGUUUAUCAUCAUAUGAGAAACUUCCUAUCAUCUAUUGUCUAUUAUUAGGGAUUGAUAUAAUCCAAUUAUAUCAUGAAAUAUAUCAUUAUAGAUUUCCAUCCCAUGUUUAUAGACUAUAUAUCCCAUAUACAUUCUAUCUUCAUAUAAUGUUUUAAAGUCAUAACUUUAAAGAAGAAGUAUUCUUUUCAUUUCCAAAAUUAAUAUAUCAUAUAUAUUUAAAUUUUAGGAACAUGAUUAACUCCCAUAUACAUUCUAUCUUCAUAUAAUGUUUUAAAGUCAUAACUUUAAUGAAGAAGUAUUCUUUUCAUUUCCAAAAUUAAUAUAUCAUAUAUAUUUAAAUUUUAGGAACAUGAUUAACUCCCACUAACCUUUUGUAAACCUAGUAAACAAAAGAUUCAUUUACAUCUUUAUGAGAAAUCAAACGAUUUGAUCCUUUUCUCAUAAGAUGCUUAUAGCUCCCACUAGCUUGCUAAAAUUCAUGAUGGUUGGAUCUCUACAACUUAUAUGUCUUGUGAUUCAUAGUUUUAGACAUAUAUAUUAUCAAGACUAUCUUAAUAAUGGUUUCGGAAACCCAUAUAAUGUCCAAACAUUGAAUCACCAUUUAGUUGUAGCUAGCUAUUUUCGAAUUAAUUGAAAAACAAGACUACGUCAAAGAUGGUUUCUUCAAAGUCAACCAUUCUCUUUGAUUGCAGUCACCUUAAGCUACCAAUUAGCUAUGGGGGUUUCAUUAUUUCGAGUCAAAUGGUACUUUACCAUUUCCUUGAGUAUAUAUUGUAUAUACACUCAAUGUAGUCAUAAGGAUUUUCAUUCUUAUUUCUUUCGAAUUAAAAGGUGCAACUCUAUGACAUAGUCAUAAAGUUCAAACCAUUCAACUGAGACGGUUUAUAAAUCCUUCUCGACUACCUUGGAGCUUUUGGUAUAGGAACUAGGUUGUUUAUAUUUGUUGAUUACUUUCUUGUCUCUCAAAGAACCCAUUCUUUGAGUUCUAUCUCUCGUUCAUUUGCUUUUAGGCAAAUCACAUUGUAGGAUUACAAUAAACUACCCAACAAAACAACAUUUGUAAAUUGGUUUAUAGAAGCGAUAUCCAAAACUUAAUUUAAGGAUAUCCCACAAGAUUGUUAUCAAACAAAUAUUGCUUAUUAGCUCACAACCCCAAAUCUUAACAUGCUUGAGAUUUGUCUUUCUUUCCAACUACAUCUUAUGGAGUCAUGAAAAAUUUGGAAGAUCUUCUAAUUAACAAUCAUAUUGUUUUAGAAGUAUAUAUCCUAUAUAUGGGUAAUAGAUAACAUCUAACGAACUAAAUCUUAUUCGAGUUCGUUCUUCUCCUUUAUGGAGAAAUCUAUUAUCUUAUGAUGCUUCUUUCCUUGAUAUCUUUCAAGGAAACUCAUCUAAAGUGUUUCUUUUCAUUGGAUCAAAUCUAAGGAGGUAAAUACUUUAGACGUCUUACUCAUCAACUUACAUUUCUAGAAUUCUUUGAAAACUUUUGCAAAGCAUUCGGACUUGUGUUUAUUCAAAAUAAACUAUAGUCCAACCGAGAGUGAUCUUCGGUGAAUGUCAUACAACAU